AUUCUGGGGUAUCCUGAUCACACUCGGUGUGUUCCCCUUCUCAACAGUUUAACGACCAGGAAUUCACACUGUGGGACUGCGUCGAAGUUCAAGGAGAGACGACCCUCUCUCAGUUUCUUGAACAUGUCGAGAACGAGCACAAAGUCAAAAUCGUCGCAGUAACCGAAGGGGAGCGAGUAUUGUACGCCAGCUUUCUGCCGUCCUCCAAAAAUCUUCUCGAACUAUCUAUGAGUGAAGUGGUUGAGGAGGUGACCAAGCGAAAGAUCGACCCGGACAAGCGGGCCCUGGUCUUUGAUCUUAUCUGCGAGGACACGAAUGGUCGGGGCAUAGAGUUUCCACGAGUACGCUACAUACUGCCAAGAUGAGCGCGCCCCCACCGUCUGUGCAGAAAGAACCAGAAUACGGCAGGCCGGGCUGCUUCCAUCCCAUCACUCGAUCCACAGCUGGUAUCACACUGCCUGCAUGGCAGCCAGCGCCAGCGACAUGCCCCUGCGAUAUCACGCUGGCGCCCAGCAAUUGCCGUCUC